rnacentral:rRNA from 1 species
AACGAACGCUGGCGGCAGGCUUAACACAUGCAAGUCGAACGCUCGUAGCAAUACGGGAGUGGCGGACGGGUGAGUAACGCGUGGGAACGUGCCCUGAGGUACGGAAUAACUGCGGGAAACUGCAGCUAAUACCGUAUGAGCCCCGCAAGGGGGAAAGAUUUAUCGCCUUAGGAGCGGCCCGCGUCGGAUUAGCUAGUUGGUGGGGUAACGGCUUACCAAGGCUUCGAUCCGUAGCUGGUCUGAGAGGACGAUCAGCCACACUGGGACUGAGACACGGCCAAGACUCCUACGGGAGGCAGCAGUGGGGAAUCUUGCGCAAUGGGGGCAACCCUGACGCAGCCAUGCGGCGUGAAUGAUGAAGGCCUUAGGGUUGUAAAGUUCUUUUGCCCGUGACGAUGAUGACGGUAACGGGAGAAUAAGCUCCGGCUAACUUCGUGCCAGCCGCCGCCGUAA